AGAAUCAACGCUGGCGGCGUGCCUAACACAUGCAAGUCGAACGAGAAAGUGGAGCAAUCCAUAAGUAAAGUGGCGCACGGGUGAGUAACACGUGACUAACCUACCCUUGAGUGGGGGAUAACCUAGGGAAACCUGGGCUAAUACCGCAUAAUACCUUCGGGUCAAAGGAGCAAUUCGCUUAAGGAGGGGGUCGCGGCCGAUUAGUUAGUUGGCGGGGUAAUGGCCCACCAAGACUAUGAUCGGUAUCC
rnacentral:rRNA from 1 species